GACGAACGCUGGCGGCGUGCUUAACACAUGCAAGUCGAACGGAAAGGCCCUGCUUGCAGGGUACUCGAGUGGCGAACGGGUGAGUAACACGUGGGUGAUCUGCCCCGCACUUCGGGAUAAGCUUGGGAAACUGGGUCUAAUACCGGAUAGGAACCAUCUUUAGUGUGGUGGUUGGAAAGUUUUUUCGGUUUAGGAUGAGCUCGCGGCCUAUCAGCUUGUUGGUGGGGUAAUGGCCUACCAAGGCGGCGACGGGUAGCCGGCCUGAGAGGGUGUACGGCCACAUUGGGACUGAGAUAAGGCCCAGACUCCUACGGGAGGCAGCAGUGGGGAAUAUUGCACAAUGGGCGCAAGACUGAUGCAGCGACGCCGCGUGGGGGAUGAAGGCAUUCGGGUUGUAAACUCCUUUCGCUAGGGACGAAGCUUUGUUGUGACGGUACCUAGAUAAGAAGCACCGGCUAACUACGUG
rnacentral:rRNA from 1 species